GAUGAACGCUGGCGGCGUGCCUAAUACAUGCAAGUCGAGCGAACAGACGAGGAGCUUGCUCCUCUGACGUUAGCGGCGGACGGGUGAGUAACACGUGGAUAACCUACCUAUAAGACUGGGAUAACUUCGGGAAACCGGAGCUAAUACCGGAUAAUAUAUUGAACCGCAUGGUUCAAUAGUGAAAGACGGUUUUGCUGUCACUUAUAGAUGGAUCCGCGCCGCAUUAGCUAGUUGGUAAGGUAACGGCUUACCAAGGCGACGAUGCGUAGCCGACCUGAGAGGGUGGUCGGCCACACGGGAACGGAGACACGGUCCAGACUCCUACGGGAGGCAGCAGUAGGGAAUCUUCCGCAAUGGGCGAAAGCCUGACGGAGCAACGCCGCGUGAGUGAUGAAGGUCUUCGGAUCGGAAAACUCUGUUAUUAGGGAAGAACAAAUGUGUAAGUAACUAUGCACGUCUUGACGGUACCUAAUCAGAAAGCCACGGCUAACUACGUG
rnacentral:rRNA from 1 species